UAAUACGGAGGGGGCGAGCGUUAUUCGGAAUUACUGGGCGUAAAGCGCGCGCAGGUGGCUGGGUAAGUGGCAGGUGAAAUCCCUUGGCUCAACCGAGGAACUGCCUGCCAAACUGCUCUGCUUGAGGCCGGGAGGGGGAAGCGGAAUUCCUGGUGUAGCGGUGAAAUGCGUAGAUACCAGGAGGAACACCGGUGGCGAAGGCGGCUUCCUGGACCGGUUCUGACACUCAUGCGCGAAAGCGUGGGGAGCAAACAGGAUUAGAUACCCUGGUAGUCCACGCCCUAAACGAUGGGCACUAGGCGUCGCGGGUGUCGACCCCUGCGGUGCCGUAGCUAACGCGUUAAGUGCCCCGCCUGGGGAGUACGGUCGCNAGGCUG
rnacentral:rRNA from 1 species